AUGCAUGCUGCAACGCACACAUGCAGCUGGCGCACCCUGCAGCAUGCACACUGCAAUGCAAUCACACAGCUGGGCACCCUGCAGCAUGCAAGGUACACACACACACAGCUGGGGGACCCCACAAGACCCUCAAUGCAAUGCAGGCACACAGCUGGGGCAGCUCACCACAUGCACAUCGCAGUGCUCUCAUGCAGCUGGGGGUGCCCUGCAACACCCACAUUGCGACACAAACACACGCACACAACACCAUACGCGCACACUGCAACACGCCCUCAGUGCACUCAGUGCUACAACACACACAGCCAGGGCACAGGCUGUAAUACACCGCAGUGCACACACAGCUGGGGUGCACCCUGCAACACACCCACAGUGCACACACAACUGGGGUGCACCCUGCAACACACCCACAGUGCACACACAGCUGGGGUGCACCCUGCAACACACAUACCUUCACAUAAACACACACAUGCCAAUAAACACACUGCAACACACACUAAACCACAUGCACACACAAAGUUUUGCACAGCCUACUGCACACUGUGGUGCACACACACACGUAUGCGCACUGCAACACACUGCCCCGGUACACACCCUGCAACACACACCACCAGUGCUCACCCGGCGGCAUGGCGCACCCUGCUAUGUGUGUUCGUUUGCUCAUGCCGUGCACGCACAUGGUGUGCAUGCAACCCAUGCAUCAUGCCUGUGCAUAUACACGCUAUCGCACACACUAGUGUCGCACCAGCAAGGGCAACACACACCCUGGUAUACACACACGCUGCACACACAGCACCACUGCAACACUCCCACGGCGGUUCUGGGGCCGUGGCACAGAGCCGUCGGUGUUCAGGAAAGGGUCCAGGCCAGGUGAACGCAGCCUGCCGGGACGCCAGCCGGCGCUGCUCGAGAAAGGAGCACGUCUGGGGGUGCACGGUGAAAAUAGGACAGCCGAGACUGUCGCGGAGAGAGGCAGACUCCGGGACAGACAGAUGUAUUUGCUGCCGAAAGCCUUUUAUCUCAGGCUCUGCAGGAAUGACUCGGAUAGAUGCUAUUUUGGUUCAAAGGCCUGUUUUAUCACUGCACACAGCAGACCAAAGUCCUGGGGAGGGGGGACACUGCAGCAUGGAGCGGGACCCAGCCGAGCGUGGCCCCACGCAAGCAGUGGGGUCAGCCCUGCUGCCGGGCCCUGGGCGCUUCGUGCGGCUUGGGCAGCCCGGCAGCCCUGGGACGCUGAAGUGGGGUUUAAAGAGCAGGAAGCCUGUUGACAGGCGCCCGCAGGCUCUGCCCACAAGCGAGCGGAAGCAGUGGGAAUUGCACCGUUAA
rnacentral:lncRNA from 1 species